AGAGUAUAUUUGUCAUAGCCGAAUGGUCAUACAUAUCCAAUACCCAUUGUCAUUCUAGUGAUCGACGAUUCAAACCCGUGUUUCUUUUCGAAAUUGUUUGCUCUUAUUUUUCCCCGUUUACCUGAACAGGGAACAAACAAAAUGCAUUUUAGUGUACCUAAAGUUCCAGCAGUCGCUCGCUCGGACGAUUUUAAUCGAAAAAUACCCCUCGAUUUGACGUGCAAACUUUUCUACUAGAGUUGCUCCGAUGUAUCAAGUG